rnacentral:rRNA from 1 species
UGGGGAAUUUUGGACAAUGGGCGCAAGCCUGAUCCAGCCAUGCCGCGUGCAGGAUGAAGGCCUUCGGGUUGUAAACUGCUUUUGUACGGAACGAAAAGACUCCUUCUAAUAAAGGGGGUCCAUGACGGUACCGUAAGAAUAAGCACCGGCUAACUACGUGCCAGCAGCCGCGGUAAUACGUAGGGUGCGAGCGUUAAUCGGAAUUACUGGGCGUAAAGCGUGCGCAGGCGGUUAUGCAAGACAGAGGUGAAAUCCCCGGGCUCAACCUGGGAACUGCAUUUGUGACUGUAUAGCUAGAGUACGGCAGAGGGGGAUGGAAUUCCGCGUGUAGCAGUGAAAUGCGUAGAUAUGCGGAGGAACACCGAUGGCGAAGGCAAUCCCCUGGGCCUGUACCGACGCUCAUGCACGAAAGCGUGGGGAGCAAACA